rnacentral:tRNA from 1 species
GCACCUGUAGUUCAGUUGGUAGAACGCCUGUCCUGUAAACAGGUUGUCUGGGGUUCAAAUCCUCACGGGUGCU